rnacentral:rRNA from 1 species
AUGAGGAGCUUGCUCCUUUGAUGUUAGCGGCGGACGGGUGAGUAACACGUGGGUAACCUACCUAUAAGACUGGGAUAACUUCGGGAAACCGGAGCUAAUACCGGAUAAUAUUUCGAACCGCAUGGUUCGAUAGUGAAAGAUGGCUCUGCUAUCACUUAUAGAUGGACCUGCGCCGUAUUAGCUAGUUGGUAAGGUAACGGCUUACCAAGGCAACGAUACGUAGCCGACCUGAGAGGGUGAUCGGCCACACUGGAACUGAGACACGGUCCAGACUCCUACGGGAGGCAGCAGUAGGGAAUCUUCCGCAAUGGGCGAAAGCCUGACGGAGCAACGCCGCGUGAGUGAUGAAGGUCUUCGGAUCGUAAAACUCUGUUAUUAGGGAAGAACAAACGUGUAAGUAACUGUGCACGUCUUGACGGUACCUAAUCAGAAAGCCACGGCUAACUACGUGCCAGCAGCCGCGGUAAUACGUAGGUGGCAAGCGUUAUCCGGAAUUAUUGGGCGUAAAGCGCGCGUAGGCGGUUUUUUAAGUCUGAUGUGAAAGCCCACGGCUCAACCGUGGAGGGUCAUUGGAAACUGGAAAACUUGAGUGCAGAAGAGGAAAGUGGAAUUCCAUGUGUAGCGGUGAAAUGCGCAGAGAUAUGGAGGAACACCAGUGGCGAAGGCGACUUUCUGGUCUGUAACUGACGCUGAUGUGCGAAAGCGUGGGGAUCAAACAGGAUUAGAUACCCUGGUAGUCCACGCCGUAAACGAUGAGUGCUAAGUGUUAGGGGGUUUCCGCCCCUUAGUGCUGCAGCU